UCUCUCGCCCUCCUCCCAUCAAGAUGGAUGAAAAGCAGAGAAACUCCUCGGGGCGCGCACAGACACCUGUCGCACGGCAACGUGUGCGUGACCUUUCUGCCUAUCCGAGCGUCUCGUUGGAAUAAAACAAGUCAACAGAGGUCUUAUUUACAUUUGUAUUCUUUUGAUUUAUAUUUUAUUAUUAAUCACAAUUGCGACGAGAAAUUAUACACGAGUGUGGGGGUGGGGGGGGAGUGUGGUAGGUCUGUAAAGUUUAAAAAGGAAGCAACACAAAUGUCAGUUACGGCAUAAAAUAUUUUGAUGAAAUUAUGAUGGGGGGGAAGUUAGCUUAAGUAAGCAUGCGGUUAAAAAUAGGAUUCUUGGUUUGAAUAAACGUGAAACUUUUUCCCCUCCAAAGUUAACUGAAUUUGAGAGAGAUUAAAUUCAGUUGUGCAGUAUUCGAUAAGAUUAACACUGGUCAACAAUUGUUCA